UACGUAGGGUGCAAGCGUUUAUCCGGAAUUAUUGGGCGUAAAGAGCUCGUAGGCGGUUUGUCGCGUCUGCUGUGAAAACUGGGGGCUCAACCCCCAGCCUGCAGUGGGUACGGGCAGACUAGAGUGCGGUAGGGGAGAUUGGAAUUCCUGGUGUAGCGGUGGAAUGCGCAGAUAUCAGGAGGAACACCGAUGGCGAAGGCAGAUCUCUGGGCCGAUACUGACGCUGAGGAGCGAAAGCAUGGGUAGCGAACAGG
rnacentral:rRNA from 1 species